rnacentral:rRNA from 1 species
GUUGUUGCGGUUAAAAGCUCGUAGUUGGAUUUCUGCUUGGGGUGGCCCAUGUGCCUUCUGGGUUACCGCCGGUUCAGCCUGAGCAUCUUCUUGGGAAUCGUGUCUGCACUUGAUUGUGUGGCACGGGUUCCAGGACUUUUACUUUGAGGAAAUUAGAGUGUUUCAAGCAGGCGUCCGCCUUGAAUACGUUAGCAUGGAAUAAUGCGACAGGACCUCGGUCCAUUUUGUUGGUUUCUUGGGUUGAGGUAAUGAUUAACAGGGAUGGUUGGGGGCAUUCGUAUUUAACUGUCAGAGGUGAAAUUCUUGUAUUUGUUAAAGACGAACUACUGCGAAAGCAUUUGCCAAGGAUGUUUUCAUUGAUCAAGAACGAAAGUUAGGGGAUCGAAGACGAUCAGAUACCGUCCUAGUCUUAACCAUAAACCAUGCCAUCUAGAGAUCGGAGGGUGUUCAUCUUAUGACUCCUUCAGCACCUUAUGAGAAAU